AGAAUCAACGCUGGCGGCGUGCCUAACACAUGCAAGUCGAACGAGAAAGUGGAGCAAUCCAUGAGUAAAGUGGCGCACGGGUGAGUAACACGUGACUAACCUACCCUUGAGUGGGGAAUAACCUAGGGAAACCUGGGCUAAUACCGCAUAACACCUACGGGUCAAAGGAGCAAUUCGCUUAAGGAGGGGUCGCGGCAGAUUAGCUAGUUGGUGGGGUAACGGCCCACCAAGGCGACGACGGGUAGCC
rnacentral:rRNA from 1 species